GGUGCUGAAGCCAAGACACUGAGGCCCCAAUCCUGGGUUCUGGCAGAGGCUGCAGGGAAGGGGCAGAGGUAGUUGGGAGUCAAGCCUCUGUUCUACAUCUCCUCACACGACCUCCUGCAGCACAGAGCACAGUGCCCCUAGCACCACCCUGGGGUGUUGGUUCAGUGGGGAGAGUGCCACAUACUGGAUGAUGAAGACUGCUUUCUCCAGCGCCUAGGAAACUCCUGUUCAACGUGAUCAUGAGCAAGAACCUAAUCUUUAAUAGCUGUCCAGGCUCAUCUCCUGCCACCAAUGUUCAUGCAGCAGGUGUCUUCCAAGAGCUUCAGUGCAUGUCGUGGGCCAGAUCCUCAGCUGGGAGAAGCCAACAGAGCUCAUGAGACAUCAUCUCUUCCAACUGUGAUAGCAACUCCGUGAAGAGGAUCCUCAGUCAGGAGCUGGCAGCCAGACUCCGAGCUGAUGUCAUGGGAAUAAAUCUGUGCUCCGAUCCAGUGACCUGUCCUUAAACGCUUGGAUAAGCUUGUUCUACUGAUCCAGGACAGUAGACGGCAAAUCAUUACCAACCGAUGGCUGUGAAGGGGCCUGUGUGAAACGAAUCUGUGGUCUCAGUUCAGUCCGUCUGAUCUCAUGUACGUCGACUGCGAACUCCACUGACUUUGUGGGUGCCUGGUUGACACUGGUGCAGGUGAAAGGAGAGUUGGGCCCCGGGUGUCCCCAUCAGAGAACCGCAGCCCCACACCUGGCAUUCACCGGCACCCUGGGAUCAGACAGGCCGGUGGUCGAGGAUGGAAUGGACAUGAGGAGUGAGCUGCCUUCUGCUUAGGAGUGGACUCUGCAUGUCAGGGGUUGAGUCUCGCUAACAGGUUGGGUCUGUACGUGCACACUACUGCUGCCCGUGCUGGGGAUAAGCAGGGUUCUUUCCAUAGUUAUUAACCUGGCUCCUUGCCCUGCCACGAAAUUCACUGCACAAACUAAUCUCAUUGCAUCACUGUGCUCAGAGUAAGAGUGGGCUUGGGGCUAAGGCCUCAAAUCAUCCAACAUGCAGAGUCUACUAGGGACCGUUGCACCAGCUGGAGUGCCCAUGGCGAUGGCCUUGCACCAGGCAUGGUAUAGUGGAGUUUGUGAGAUUGUGACAUUUUGCACAAAGUCUGUCCUGCCUUCAGCUGCUCAUUUUAUUCAAAAAUGAUGUUGCGUGCUCUGCAGCCACGUUGCCAGGAUGGACAAAACCACACCAGCGUACUGUGCUCUCAGACUCUCCAGCGAUGCACAAAGGGAUGCAUGCCCCAACCCCGCCUGAUGCUGCUUGUGGGGUUUCCCCAGAGAUCUGUGGAUUUGCAGGAUUGAGCCGGAUCUGGGAUUAGUAGUUCUGCCUUCAGACCCUGGCUCUACCACAGAUGGCCUGUGUGACCACGUGCAAGUCACUUAGUGUCUCUGUGCCUCAAUUCUCCAUCUGUAAAAUGGGGAUAAUACUCCUCAUUUCCACCCUUUGUCGAGUUAGACGAUACAUGCUUCAGUGCGGUAGCUGUCUCUUGCUAUGUGUAUGGACCGAGUAUUGCACA